rnacentral:lncRNA from 1 species
CAAAACUAUACAAUAUUGAAAACUCUCUCUUUUCAUUCUGUUUCGAGUCCUUUCUAGGUUAAACAAACGAGAGAAAAGAAUUUUCUCCCUUUAGAAGAUAUUUUAUGCGUGCAUCGAAUUUUGGAAACCGACCAAUCCACUGGUAAAGAACAGAGUGACAGAACACGGAAGUGAAAGUACAAGUACCGAAAAGACAGUUAGUUUUGGUUCAUAGGAUCCCUUCGCUUCGCACACCUCGAACGAGAAGCAUGCAAAUACGGUGGACUCGUCAAAGGGACGAAGAGCCGUUCGAAAAUAUAUAAUUCAGACCGUAAAUGGCCCUCUUACGGACUGGUAAAACGGUUAACUUUUAACGUGACCGGCUUAGGUAUGGAACCUUGGAAAACGUAGUUUCCAUGCGAAAGGAAAAAGAAGCGACGAAAAGUGUAGGACAGAUCGCAUUAUCCUUUGAUAAAACGACUUCUUGGCGGGCUAAAGGUGGCGGAGGAGAGGGAGAGGGAAGGAGGGAAGGGGGAAAAAAAAUGCGAAGCGAAACUCGUUAUUAAGAAAACGAAUCAUAAUGGAAGGUGCUUGAAAGAUUGAUGGGACAAAGGACGAAGAGAUAGAAGUUGGUGUAACUUCGCUCUCUGUAUAAUUUUAUACAGGGCCUAAGAAUCGGGAUGAGGCCGGUGUUAAACGUUCCGUUUGAUCGAUGCGAAUGUUGAAGAAUGAAAUUUCUUGACGGAUUUUUAAGGAAGAAAUACAACAAAGCAUCGAGAUACAAUAAAGAGAAAAGAAAAAUACGUGAAUUCAAAGAAAAAUACGUGUGUGUGUGUGUACACGUUCAUGAGCAAUAACAAUUCGAUAUCUAUAAAACAGUGAAGAAGAGUCAUUUGUUAUGUCUCCUGAAGGCCCAAUCAUCAUCGCCAUAUAAAGAAAGAGAACGAAAACUUUGACUGGUCUUGGAAAAAAAGAAAAAGAAAAAAAAAAAGGGAAGUAUUCACCUCGUACACCCUUUCGAUCGUUUCAACAGCAAUAAAACAGCAGUAGCAUAGAUAUAUCCUCGAUGUUAUGUCAUCGAUCGGAAAUAUCAAACCGUUCCACGAAUCUCGUUACCGCAUCGAGGAGUAAUGACCUUCCGUAUCAAAAGGAGCAUUGGAAGAUUCCAUUUCGCGAAGAGUCUAUCCCCCUAUCCAUUGUAUUAAAAAUAUUUUAUGUAGGAAGAAAAAGAGGAGGAAACGAGAAGAGAAUGAAUUCUAAGAGGGAAGGGAAGAAGAAGAAGAGGAAAUGUGCGGUUUUUGCUUUUCCUAGGACGUAACGCCGCGCUUUAUGAUUACGAACGCCCGUGAACGAGCAUCGUGAUCCUCGUUACGACCUCGUAAAGAAACCUUUUAAGGUGUCCACUCGGACCUUUCACUCGGACCUAGCUUCGAUCGACGCUUCGCGUAGAUGGCGCGCGUCCAUCUAUUUUUGAGGCUUCCAUUUCCAUUUCCAACGGAAGGAUCUCGAAGAAUUUCUACGGCCAACGCAUAAUUCUUUCGUAAUACCGCGAUAAACCGUGAGAGGGAAUUAAUCACGUCCCCAAAUUGAUCGAUCCCCGUGGACGAAUUGGAUCCGAAAGGGAAAUAAUUUCCAACGAAGGCAAAGGAAAAUUUAGCCAAACGCGAGGCCAUUCGAACGUUUAAUCUCACGCUUCGUUCCCCGCGAUCAACGUGAAUCACUUGGAAAUAAAGACGAUGUUUCCACAACCCCGGGAAACAUUGGCGAUUGAUUGCACCGAGGGUGUAGCCAUUACAAUUGCAGCGUGAACCUGGGAGGGAGGGAGGGAGGGGUACACUCGGCCCGAACAUCAUCCGGGAAAAUCUACGGUCCACGGUCUAUUUUCCACGACUAUUAGUCUAGCGAGUUAAUUCGAUGGAAGCAGAGGUAUCCGCGGGUAAAUAGAAAACGCUAUGAAUCGUGCCACUACGUGACAGAGAUGAGAAUAUAUAUCCGUGACGCAAGUUUAAUUUAAUCUUAUUUAGCCUCGCAAUUUCGCCUCGCUAAUUUCUGUGGAGAUAAUCAAACGAAAUACAGUACUCGAAAAUUUACUCAUCGUCAUUGCAUAAAAUAUAUUCGUUUCUUUGAUUUAAUUUGAUUAAUGAUUAAUUCGAGAAUAAAUUGGGCAAGGAUAAAUUCAAGCAGAUUACCAAACCUGCAAUUUUUUUUCCUCGAUACAUUCAAUACACUCUAUCUUGUUUUCAUUUUAACGAAAUGAUAAUAGUAUAUUUACAAUACAAUAGUGCUUCGAAUAAAAACAAACGACUAAUAAAGGAGAGAUCAUCUCUGUUUCCAUCCUCGUUCGAGGUCCAUUCGAACAGGUGCGACAUCGGUGUUGAUACGUGCCGUCACAAUAGAGAGAAAGAGAGAGAGAGAGAACGUCCGCUAUAAAUCGCCCGAAUCCCAAACCUUUCCUCUCUCGAUACCGCAAGAACCCCUCUCACUCCCCCCGAUCUAUUGAAAAAAAAAUGCCAGGAAUCAUUAUUUUUCUCACCCUCGUGACCGUCCACCCCAAACGCAAGCAACCAAGACCAACGAUCUGUGCGAUGCAGGGACACCAACGAUUCUGCAAUUAUCGUGGAGCAGACGCGAAUGCGUGACUAUGAUAAAUCUACGAUAGUUCGUCGGGGGAUUUAUUGCACCGUUGGCGCGAAUUCGAUUCCGGUUGGAGGAAUGGACGGGUGCAAGGGUGCGUUUCGUCCGACCAAUCCAGAUCCGAUCACGGUAAUAAAAAUAUAUCGGGGAACACCCUGGUGUGGCUAUCUUCGCGUACCACGGAAGGGGGCCAUCUCUCCCAAGUUUGACGAAAACGUAGCCAAUAAUCCUCGAAAUCCAUGCGAGAAAUUUGAGAAAUUUUGUUCAAGAUUUGAUAUUAUUAUUCGAGGAAAAUGAAGA